rnacentral:tRNA from 1 species
GCCUGCGUGGCUCAGUCAGUAGACUGUGAGACUCUUGAUCUCAGGGUUGUGGGUUCAAGUCCCACAGUGGGUG